rnacentral:rRNA from 1 species
UACAGAGGGUGCAAGCGUUAAUCGGAAUUACUGGGCGUAAAGCGCGCGUAGGUGGUUUGUUAAGUUGGAUGUGAAAUCCCCGGGCUCAACCUGGGAACUGCAUUCAAAACUGACAAGCUAGAGUAUGGUAGAGGGUGGUGGAAUUUCCUGUGUAGCGGUGAAAUGCGUAGAUAUCGAGAGGAACACCUGCGGCGAAGGCGGGUUGCUGGGCUGACACUGACGCUGAAACGCGAAAGCUAGGGGAGCGAACGGG